GAAUCACUGGCAGCUGGGAUCAUUCGCCCAUCUUCAUCCCCUGCGGGAGCAGGAUUUUUCUUCGUGGACAAGAAAGACAAGACCCUGCGACCCUGUAUCGAUUACCGGGGUCUCAAUGAGAUCACGGUAAAAAACAGCAGUUACUGCAGAAUCAACUCUAUGUCAAGGCUGAGAAAU